GACGAACGCUGGCGGCGUGCUUAACACAUGCAAGUCGAACGGUAAGGCCCUUUCGGGGGUACACGAGUGGCGAACGGGUGAGUAACACGUGGGUGAUCUGCCCUGCACUUUGGGAUAAGCCUGGGAAACUGGGUCUAAUACCGGAUAGGACUACGCGAUGCAUGUCGUGUGGUGGAAAGCUUUUGCGGUGUGGGAUGGGCCCGCGGCCUAUCAGCUUGUUGGUGGGGUGAUGGCCUACCAAGGCGACGACGGGUAGCCGGCCUGAGAGGGUGUCCGGCCACACUGGGACUGAGAUACGGCCCAGACUCCUACGGGAGGCAGCAGUGGGGAAUAUUGCACAAUGGGCGCAAGCCUGAUGCAGCGACGCCGCGUGGGGGAUGACGGCCCUCGGGUUGUAAACCCCUUUCAGCACAGACGAAGCGUAAGUGACGGUAUGUGCAGAAGAAGCACCGGCCAACUACGUG
rnacentral:rRNA from 1 species